CCUGAACAGAGUCGAGCGAUGCAAAAAUUUCAUUGUUGUCUUAUUUUAAGAAAUGGCCGCAGCCACCCCAACCUUCAGCAACCACCAUCCUGAGCAAUCAGAAGACAUCAACACAGGGUCUCCAGGAUACAAGACAUAUAUUAAUUCAAUGAACAUUUGUCGAGAACUUGCUGCGUGCCAGGUACAGAGAGGGACCUUGCCCGAGGCAACACAGCCAGUGAGUGACAGAGCCGGAAGCCACAUCUUUGUCAUCCAGCUGCUGGACUCCCUCCACCACGCUCCUCUUCCGCAGGAGCCGCUGUCCUUCACAUCGGUGAGAAAACAGAGCCCUAGACCAUCGCCUUGCAUCUCCAGACAGCACAGGACAUGAGAAUCAUUACUAAGCACCUGAUUUAAGAGUCUGUCUGGGACUUCCCGG
ensembl:lncRNA